rnacentral:rRNA from 1 species
UACAGAGGUGGCAAGCGUUGUUCGGAAUUACUGGGCGUAAAGGGCGCGUAGGCGGCCUACUAAGUCAGACGUGAAAUCCCCCGGCUUAACCUGGGAACUGCGUCUGAUACUGGAAGGCUUGAGGAUGGGAGAGGGAUGUAGAAUUCCAGGUGUAGCGGUGAAAUGCGUAGAUAUCUGGAGGAAUACCGGUGGCGAAGGCGGCAUCCUGGACCAUUACUGACGCUGAGGCGCGAAAGCUAGGGGAGCAAAGCGGG